rnacentral:rRNA from 1 species
UACAGAGGUCCCAAGCGUUUGUUCGGAUUCAUUGGGCGUAAAGGGUGCGUAGGUGGCGUCGUAAGUCGGGUGUGAAAUUUCGGAGCUCAACUCCGAAACUGCAUUCGAUACUGCGGUGCUUGAGGACUGGAGAGGAGACUGGAAUUUACGGUGUAGCAGUGAAAUGCGUAGAGAUCGUAAGGAAGACCAGUGGCGAAGGCGGGUCUCGUGGACAGUUCCUGACACUGAGGCACGAAGGCCAGGGGAGCAAACGGG